rnacentral:tRNA from 1 species
GAAGGUAUAGCUCAGUGAUAGAGUGCAUGCUUAGUAUGCAUGGGGUCCUGAGUUCAAUCCCCAGUACCUCCU